rnacentral:misc_RNA from 1 species
GAUGAAGAACGUAGCGAAAUGCGAUAAGUAAUGUGAAUUGCAGAAUUCAGUGAAUCAUCGAAUCUUUGAACGCACAUUGCGCCCGCCAGUAUUCUGGCGGGCAUGCCUGUCCGAGCGUCAUUUCAACCCUCAAGCCCCCGGGCUUGGUGUUGGAGAUCGGCGAGCCCCCCGGGGCGCGCCGUCUCCCAAAUAUAGUGGCGGUCCCGCUGUAGCUUCCUCUGCGUAGUAGCACACCUCGCACUGGGAAACAGCGUGGCCACGCCGUAAAACCCCCCACUUCUGAAUGUUGACCUCGGAUCAGGUAGGAAUACCCGCUGAACUUAAGCAUAUCAAUAAGCGGAGGA